UAAUGUAUGGGGAUCUGCCCGAUAGAGGGGAUAACUACUGGAAACGGUGGCUAAUACCGCAUAAUGUCUACGGACCAAAGCAGGGGCUCUUCGGACCUUGCACUAUCGGAUGAACCCAUAUGGGAUUAGCUAGUAGGUGGGGUAAAGGCUCACCUAGGCGACGAUCUCUAGCUGGUCUGAGAGGAUGAUCAGUCACACUGGGACUGAGACACGGCCCAG
rnacentral:rRNA from 1 species